GGAGAGAGCGUGAAUUUUCUUCCCUCUUAUCCUUUUCCUUUAAAGCAGUGCCGUGUGUUAUUAUUUCUAUUUAUUUCAAGUUGUUAGCCUUUCGAUGACAUGCAUUUGCAGGACACAUAGGAGGAAGUUGAUCCUGAUGAGCUCUCAUAUGAGAAACUCCUCGCACUCGGUGAAGUAGUUGGGACAGAGAGCAGGGGGCUUUCAGCUUAUUCAAUUGCAUCCUUGCCUUUGGUAACAUACAAGACAGGAAAGAGUCAAACCGGAAGCAACGAUUCGUGUGUCAUCUGCCGUGUAGACUACGAGGAUGGUGACUCCUUAACGUCACUUUCUUGCAAGCAUUCAUAUCAUCCCAAGUGCAUAAAUAAUUGGUUGAAAAUAAACAAGGCCUGUCCUGUUUGUAGUGCUGACUGCUGAGGUCUCAACUUGAAGGCAAAGCUAGUAUUUCGAACAGAGUGUGAGAAGAAGGAGGAGAGGGAGGAGGAGGAGGAGGAAAAAGCUGCUGCUGUCACGUCAGAAAGUUACAUGUAACAACAGGGACCAAAAUGAAAACGAAUUAAAAGUUUGAUGAUUGUAUUAAGUAUGAAGAUGUG